GACGAACGCUGGCGGCGUGCUUAACACAUGCAAGUCGAACGGAAAGGCCCCUUUGGGGGUACUCGAGUGGCGCACGGGUGAGUAACACGUGAGUAACCUGCCCUUGACUUCGGGAUAACUUCAGGAAACUGGGGCUAAUACCGGAUAGGAAUCCUUGCUGCAUGGUGGGGGUUGGAAAGCUUCGGCGGUUUUGGAUGGACUCGCGGCUUAUCAGCUUGUUGGUGGGGUAGUGGCUUACCAAGGCUUUGACGGGUAGCCGGCCUGAGAGGGCGACCGGCCACAUUGGGACUGAGAUACGGCCCAGACGCCUACGGGAGGCAGCAGUGGGGAAUAUUGCACAAUGGGCGGAAGCCUGAUGCAGCAACGCCGCGUGCGGGAGGACGGCCUUCGGGUUGGAAACCGCUUUCAGCAGGGGCGAAGCUUGUGGUGACGGUACCUGCAGAAGAAGCACCGGCUAACUACGUG
rnacentral:rRNA from 1 species